GAUCAAGAUAGUAAGUGCAGCAGGUGAAUGCCUAGGUGCCAGAAGGCGAUGAAGGACGUUGCAAGUUGCGAUAAGCCGUAGCAAGCCACAUGCGGGCGUUAUAGCUGCGGAUCUCCGAAUGGGAAAACCCGGCAUGAAUUGUUCAUGCCGCUUGCGGACCAAUUCAUAAUCCACAAGCGCGAUACAAGGCGAAGUGAAACAUCUCAGUAACCUUAGGAACAAAAAACGAAAGUGAUUCCGUCAGUAGCGGCGAGCGAAAGCGGACAAGCCCAAACUGCUGAAACUUGUUUCAGCAGGGUUGUGGGGCUUCCAUAAUCAAAUUCAACAAGAAGCCGAAAUUUUCUGGAAAGAAAAGCCACAGCGCGUGAAAGCCGCUUUCGGCUGCAAGUUGAGCUUGUAGGACGUCCCCAAGUAGCACAAUGCACGUGAAACUUUGUGUGAAUCUGUCCGGACCACCGGAUAAGGCUAAAUACUACCUGGCAACCGAUAGUGAACCAGUACCGCGAGGGAAAGGUGAAAAGAACCCCUUUUAGGGGAGUGAAACAGAACCUGCAACCUGCUGCAUACAAUGUGUAGGAGCCCUUAAUUGGGUGACUGCUUGCCUUUUGCAUAAUGAGUCUGCGAGUUGUUGUCGGUGGCCGGCCAAAGCUGUUAAGCAGAGCGGGCCUAGGGAAACCAAGUGCUAAAUGCGCGACACGUCGCUGGCAACAGACCCGAAGCGGAGGUGAUCUACUUAUGAGCAGGCUUAAGCCCUGGUAAUACUGGGUGGAGGGCCGAACUCGUGGAUGUUGAAAAAUCCUGAGAUGACUUGUGAGUAGGAGCGAAAGACUAAUCAAACCCCGUGAUAGCUGGUUCUCUUCGAAAUCGCUUGAGGGCGAGUGUUGUGUAAGUUCCUGACCGAGGUAGAGCACUGAAUGGCUUAGGGGCCCCACCAGGCUGCCAAAACCAAUCAAACUCCGAAUUCAGUCAGUUCCUGUAUCACAGCAGUCAGGCAGCGGGGGAUAAGCUCCGUUGCCAAAAGGGUAACAGCCCAGACCGCCGGCUAAGGUGCCCAAAUAUGGUUAAGUGGAAAGGAUGUAACGUUGCUUAGACAGUGAGGAUGUUGGCUUAGAGGCAGCCACCAUUUAAACAGUGCGUAAUAGCUGACUCAUCGAGCGACGUUGCGCCGAAAAUGAUCGGCGAUACAACCAUAUACCGAAGCCGCGGGUGCGGAGCCGUUCUGGAACCGCGCGGUAGAAGAGCGUAAUUGCAACGUUGAAGCCCUACGGCAACGAAAGGUGGAGUGGCAAUUAGUGAGAAUGCAGACACGAGUAGCGAUAAACCAAGUAAGAAUCUUGGUCGCCAUAAACCUAAGGUUUCCUGGGCCAGGUUCGUCCUCCCAGGGUUAGCCGGACGCUAAGACAAGGCUGUAAGGCGUAGUCGAUGCACAACAGGUUAAAUAUUCCUGUGCCAUUGAGGUUAAUAGCGCGAGGAGAGCAACAAAAAAUCCAUAUACCCUAACGAAUCGGGAGCCAAGACUUCGGUCAAAGCGCAAUGGACGAUGUGUUGCCAAGAAAAGGCCUUGCGUGUUCCCUUGAUGUCCGUACCGCAAACCGACACAGGUGGGUGAGUGUUAAUGCACUCAGGCGCGCGAGAGAAACCUCUCUAAGGAACUCGGCACAUUAGCCUCGUAACUUCGGGAUAAGAGGUGCCCUUCAUUGGGCCACAGCAAAUUGCGUUUAGCGACUGUUUAACAAAAACACAGCUCUCUGCCACGUCAAUAGACUAAGUAUAGGGAGUGACAAGUGACCAAUGCGGAAAGAUCAAAGCAUCUUGUCAGCCGCAAGGCAAAGCUCGGUGCCCAAGUCCCCGUGAAUGUCGGCCGUAACUAUAACGGUCCUAAGGUAGCGAAAUUCCUUGUCGGGUAAGUUCCGACCUGCACGAAUCUUGUAACGACUAAACGACUGUCUCGGAGAGGAUCUCGGCGAAACUGUAAUUGCGGUGAAGAUGCCGCAUGCCCGCAGUAGGACGGAAAGACCCUAUGCACCUUUACUGUAAGCUCGUAUUGUGUUCUGAUUAAUGAUGCGUAGCGUAGGUGGGAGACUUUGAAGUGAAGGCUCCGGCUUUCAUCGAGUCGCAAUGUGAAACACCACUCUUUAUUGGUUAGAAUUCUAACUUUGACCUGUCAUCCAGGCAAAGGACAGUGCGUGCGGGUCAGUUUGACUGGGGCGGUUUCCUCCAAAAGAGUAACGGAGGAGCGCGAUGCUCGGUUCAGCACGGUUGGCAACCGUGCGUCGAGGGUAUGGCUAAAAGCCGGGCUAACUGCGAGACCUACAAGUCGAGCAGAUGCGAAAGCAGGCCCAAGUGAUCCGACGGUCUAAUGUGGAAUUGCCGUCGCUCAUCGGACAAAAGGUACGCUAGGGAUAACAGGCUGAUCGAGUCCAAGAGUUCAUAUCGACGACUCGGUUUGGCACCUCGAUGUCGGCUCAUCGCAUCCUGGGGCUGAAGAAGGUCCCAAGGGUCCGGCUGUUCGCCGGUUAAAGCGGUACGCGAGCUGGGUUCAGAACGUCGUGAGACAGUUCGGUCCUUAUCCACUGUGGGCGAAGGACACUUGAGGGGUUCAAACCUUAGUACGAGAGGACCGGGUUUGACGCACUUCUGGUGUGGCAGUUGUCUUGUCAAAGGCAUCGCUGCGUAGCCAUGUGCGGAAAAGAUAAGCGCUGAAAGCAUCUAAGUGCCAAGCUUAUCCCAAGAUAAGGUGUCCCAAGAUUAAGUUCUCUAAAGAUAACCGUCAGACAAGCGGUUUAAUAGGUUGGAAGUAUAAGCUCAGCAAUGAGUUAAGCUGACCAAUACUAAUCAAUCGUGAGUCUUGAUCUAUA
rnacentral:rRNA from 1 species